rnacentral:rRNA from 1 species
UACGAAGGGGGCUAGCGUUGUUCGGAAUUACUGGGCGUAAAGCGCACGUAGGCGGAUUUGUUAGUCAGGGGUGAAAUCCCGGGGCUCAACCUCGGAACUGCCUUUGAUACUGCAAAUCUCGAGUCCGGAAGAGGUGAGUGGAAUUCCUAGUGUAGAGGUGAAAUUCGUAGAUAUUAGGAAGAACACCAGUGGCGAAGGCGGCUCACUGGUCCGGCACUGACGAUGAGGUGCGAAAGAGUGGGGAGCAAACAGG